rnacentral:lncRNA from 1 species
CAAGUAGGAACAAUGCUGAGUGGAGAGCUCUGGUCGCCCAAGGUGGAUAUACAGCAUCGAUGAAAAAUAAAUCUUCGUUGUUCAUCACUGCAGCAUAACCUAACUAAGCUUGAUUAAUAUAGAUGAACGUGUUAAAAUCUGAAAAGGUUUUCCUAGUGUAUUAAAGGCAGUGCCCCCUAACAGGUGAACGUGCUUUUACUGAGCACUUCUGCUAGUUGGUUCUCAUAUAUUUCUGCUGAAAUUUUAGUAAGACAAAUGGUCUCCUGUUUUCAGUCUCCUUCUUAUAAGGAUACCAUACUCAGUCAUAUAUGCUCUUACUGUCAGGAAGAAGAGAGCUGUCCUGAAGCAUUUGGUAUGGAUUAGGUUACUAUUACCGCAUCUCAAAUCAGCUCUUGGCAUGGGGUUACCAAGUUGUCACUGGUAAGAGCAAGGAUACAGACUCACAGAAGCAAAAAGUCUUCUUCAGACUCUUGAAGGUUGGGCAUUUGGUGUCCACAGGGUGUGUGAUUUUGCAAAAGUAAAGUUGGGAAGAGAGAGAAGCAGCUGAAGGCCCAAACUAAGCAACUGAGUUUUAUUUCUUCUUCUUUUGGAAGAUGUGGACUUACUCCCUUGUCAUUCAGAAUUCUGCGGGAGUCUUCGAACUUGGGAUGAUGUCAGCUGACUUCCCAUCUAAGGCUGUUCCGUGGGCCCAAAAUCUUUCAAUACGUACAAACUGGAAUUGGAAUUGGAAAAACUUUUGGCCAAUUUGUAGCAGGUUUUCCAGGGAAGUAUUUUUCACUGACACUGUGGAAACCUAAAUAAGCUUGUCCCUCAGGAUCAUCGUUAAGAGUCUGGAAAUAUCAAUCAGGCCGAAACACAGUCCAAGAUUUCAUGUUUUCUGGUUUUUACAAACUGUCAGUUUUGAUUUUUAUU